ACAUUGGUAGUUCAGGGGUAGAAUUCUUGCCUUCCACGCAGGAGACCCAGGUUCGAUUCCUGGCCAGUACA
rfam:Loxodonta africana unplaced genomic scaffold scaffold_115, whole genome shotgun sequence.